rnacentral:rRNA from 1 species
UACGAAGGGGGCUAGCGUUGCUCGGAAUCACUGGGCGUAAAGCGCACGUAGGCGGCUUUCUAAGUCAGGGGUGAAAUCCUGGAGCUCAACUCCAGAACUGCCUUUGAUACUGGAGAGCUUGAGUCCGGGAGAGGUGAGUGGAACUCGAGUGUAGAGGUGAAAUUCGUAGAUAUUCGGAAGAACACCAGUGGCGAAGGCGGCUCACUGGCCCGGUACUGACGCUGAGUGUAGCGA